ensembl:lncRNA
GUGAUGUUUGCUCGGACGUUCUAACACGGGAUGGGGAAAUACACGGGGAAAUCUGGCACACGCCCAGUUUCCACUUCAUUAUAUUCUGCAAACACGGAGUUGGGGAUUUUCCUAUCUAGCUCACAAUUUAUGCUCCCAGUGGGGAGUUCAGAACACCACACUCCGGACCCGCUGGAAGAGAGCGUUCUGGGGACAGCAGCAGGCGAAGCCCACGCAGCCUGCGCACGGAGGCUUUGACUGGAUGGUUCAGAAUGUGGAAACUGGAAGAGAGAUGCCACUCCUGCUAUAAGUGAAGAUCAGAUUCAUGACCUCCUGAGGAACAUGAACACCCAUAAGUCUAUGAGCCCUGAGGAGAUGCAUCCCGGAGUCCUGAAGGAAUUGGCAGACAUAGUUGCCAAGCCACUCUUGAUGAUCUUUGAAAAGUCAUGGUGGUCAGAUGAAGUCUCUGGUGACGAUGACAAAAGGCAAUAUCACACCCAUAUUUAAGAAGGGUAGAAAGGAUGACCUAGGGAACUAUGAACCUAUUAGCUUCACAUCUGUGCUGGGGAAGAUAAUGGAAGAGAUGAGGCUCCUAGGACCAGCUACAUGCACUCUGUCUGGGGCAGCUUCACAAGCUAUCGUGAAACUGCUUUUCUAUGUGUUUUCUCGUUUCCAAACCAAGAAACAAGGUAAAAGCAUUGAAUAUGAUCUUGGACAAGAAAGGUUCUCUGUAGCACUGCACUGGUGAAAAUCGAUAGCAAUGGAGCUGUGUCAUCACUGGGAUUACUUUUGCCCUGAACAGUCCUUCGCAAAUGAAAAAUAAAGCAAAGAAAUGUUCUUAUUUUUUAUCUCUGCUUCUGCAUAAAUGUAGUUUACAUACCACUAUACUGCAUUUAUUAAUGUAUGAAAUUUGUUAAUUUUGUAAGUGUCCAUGGGCUUUCAGUUGCUUUAAUGACAAUUGUUAUCCAUAAUUGCAUUUCAAUCAUUCUAUUGCAUGUACAUGCUUCUUACAAUAAUACUAAUAUACUCUUCUGUACACUUACUGUAAUACACGUACUAAUCAACACUGUAUCAACUGUAUCAACAAUUCUAUAUAUACAUCUUUAAUCAGAUCACUGUCAUGUACUUCCUGACAAGUGCUAGUUUUAAGCUUAGUAACCAGUGGCUUUCAUGACUCAGAAUGGAGCAUAAUGCAAUAUUAACUGAUUUUCUUUGUGACAGAGAUUUCAGUCUGUAUGUUUUAGAGGAUCUAGGGCACUGUAGGUAACACAGAACAAGAUCAUUAGCAAGUACUAUUGUAUUAGAAACUUUUUAGUGACAGCAUUUCUUUCUUCAUAGAUAUUUGUUCAUGCUUACAGAAAUUACACAGAGCGGAAAUGAUCUCACCUUACUUGAUAACACAGAUAUCCAGAUCUAAGCUCGUCAUUCCCUAGGGUGUACAUGCCUCUGUCCAUAGUGAAAAACAGACAUUUUAGAGCUCUUUGAAUAUGACCUAUUUUAGAUGCUUACACUAGAAUGGAAUGAAUCAUGCCUUAGAAUGCUUUUUUUUCCCCGUAGAAAACAGAGGGAGACCAGAGUGAUUAGUCCUGAUCCAGUUCUUUGCACUGCAAGAUGUACAUCUGGUCAAUUCUUACUACUGAACAAAAAAUGCUGGUUCUAUAAUUAUGAGGGAAAAGUAAAGAAGCAGCUGAGCCUGUGAAUCUUCAAGAUUAAAAAAAAAAAAAAAAGCCGUUGCUUUUCUUCACAAAAAUAACAAACUGGACUAUGAUUCUAAGAGUACUUAAUUAUUUUUAGUUAAGUUAGAUGAAAGAAUUUGAAGUUCAUAAGUAAACAGCUUUGCAAUAAGUAAUAAUUCUAGAAGUAGAUAUUACCAAACCUUAAGGUUACUGUAUGUCAUAUGAAUCAUAUUAAUCCAGUCAAUAAAGCAUUCUCUAAUUCCAGUAGCUAUUAAUUAAAUUAAUUUGUUCUAUUUUUCUUUGCUCUACCCAAACAUUACUUUUACUACGCUUGAAAAAAUUAUUUUUUAAAGUUUCUAAGAUUCUAAAAUAUGUUUGAAAUUUAAAGUUUAAGAUGGAUUUUUUUCCAUUUACAAGUAAAUAAUAAGGGUAUGUACAAUUUGUUAGAGAUCUAUCUGAAGGUAUGUGUUGAACCUGAUUUCAAGUAUCUAUUGUAUUAGCUUAUCAGUUUAGGAAAAGAUUUCAGCAUGCCAAAUGUGUACAAACAGUGAGAUCGCUUCAAAUGGCUUUGGCCAAUGGGUGAAGAAUUUCUUUAGCAUUUGACAGUUCUGCUCUAGUGAUGAAGAGGCAGGAAGUCCUUGGAAUGAACUAUUGGAUUUCAUUUGUUUUGUAACAUAGGUUUUUUAAAUUCACUCAUGGGCUCACCAACACGAUCUAGAUAAACAUCAAUAUAUUCAUUAAAUUUUGAAUUUGAACAAAGUUACUGGAUCAUCAGAUAGAAGAACUCUAGAAAUAACAAUACAUUGCAAAUAAACUCUAGGUAAGUAAAAAUCCAAUGUUAGAAAAUGCCUUUCCUAUUGUUGAUGUUAUUUAUUUGUUUCCUUUACAGAUUGAAGGCAUUUGCAGUGUUGACCAGUUCCCCUCUGCUUAUGUAAGCUGUGACAACAAAGCCUGUGGACUAGCUAAAACUUUCUCACUACCUAUCACUGUGGAUAGGAAAACCUGUCAUGCAGGCCUUUAAGCAAAUCCCUCAAAGACUUAAUCAUGCACAACAUCAGAGGUUCCUGUUGCAUGUGUGUCUCUACCAACCAGGGACUUGAAGGAAGCAACAAUCCAUGAGAUAUGUAUCAUUUGCUACAAAUUAUGCAACCGUGCCAAAUGCUUGAAUACCUCUGAAGCACAUCGCGUUAUGCCAAGGACUCCCCACCUAUCUGAGCCCUGUAGAUCUCAAGAGUAAUUGAAUUUGUUGAUGCAGUUAUAGAGUACAGAAUUCUUCCAUUUAUAUGGCUAGCAACGGACUCACAGUUCUCUUAGUAUUGGAUGUACUUAAACUGCAGCCUUCUUGUCCUCACUUGGUUAUGGCCACACUGCCUCUUUUGCUGAGUAUGGCAAGAACUAAUUAAUUUAAGAAUUAAUGCAAGAGUAUGUCUUAUAAAGAUGUCCCUCUAUAUGUAAUACACAGCAUUUCUACCACAACAGAUGUUUUGUCAAAGGUUUCAAAAUGCAUAUGUAUCUCCAUUUUACACGCAGUCUUCAGAAAGACAUCUGCACACCUAUGUGGUUUCCAGGAUUAACUUGCUUUAGCGUUCCUACCUUCUGUAGGAACAACUGAGGGAUUAUCAUAAGCAUUAUGGUUUCUGGUCACUUCUGGAUCUUUGACCCAAAUAACGUAUUUCUGAGUUGGUUAUGGGUAGCCUUCACCACAAAUUAAAAGCAGCUCUUGUAUUUAUGUAUCCUGAUGGAUGGCAAAAUGUCCAUCCAUCUCUUAUUCUGUAAUACAUAUCGUCUCCAUACAAAGAUGAUCUUCCUCGAGUGGCUAGUGUCUAACAUCAUUAGCACCUAUGGCUUCGGAUAUGAAAACUAAAAUACUUCAGUGUGCAAUACCACAGUCUCACUUCCUGUAAAUGUAAAAUAACCCUCAUAUGAAAUCUGCCAAACUGCUCUUCAUCACUGUUGUCCCUGUCUCCCAUUCUACCAUUUAGUGCAGAUUUAUACCUAUCCAAUGUGGCAACUCCUGCAUGGCCUAAUGAAUAGAACGCAGCUUUAUUUUAAUGGCAAGUACAAGAUAGAAAAAAAAUGAUGGAAUGAUUUUCCUGGCUCAUUUUCAUUAUGCUUCAGCUUUGGACUGAACUUUAAAAGGUAAAUCGCCCAACUCUUGACUACACAAGCAUUUAAAUAACUACAGAGAUUCUUAGCAUUUUUUACCUUUGGUGACUGUGGAUUCAUGUUGACUUUAAACUGACUUAAGGGUAUUAGAAAAGAAAUUUUCAGGCAAAGAUAAUACUCUGUUGUGGAAUGGAUAUUGAGCAAUUAGGGAAAGAAGAAUAUUUUAUCAUUCUUGUCACAGAGGCUAUUUCUUGGGCAAUGGCUACCUGCUCCUUUUUAUCUUUCCCACCCAUGCCAUAUUGCAGCAAAUGUGGCCGCAGGUGCCUACACUGGAUGAACACCUGCCCAAUCUGCGCAAGAAGGAAAGGAAAUCAAGGGAUGUCAUGCUCACUAGUUUUGUGUACUCAACUCAGGAGAGUGACAGAAAGGAGAAAUGAGAAGACAGUUAAAUUUAGCAUGAUUAAGAAGAGAGAGUAGAAUAAAAUGGCUGUGACCUUCAGAAGCAGCUUUUGCAGGAGAUGGAGAGCAGGUAAGUCUAAACACACUUUUUUCAAAGGCAGAACACCACUUUCUGUGUCUGUCAGCCUUUCUAUAACAAUGCAUCUACUACAGUGAGCUGACAGAAACCUUACAAAGUUCAACAGAGUCCUGCACCUAGGGAGAAACAAACACAGGCACCAGGACAUGCUGGGGCCACCUAGCUGAAAAGCAGCUCUGCAGCAGAGGACAUGGGGACAGAGUGGUGGGGACACCACUCUGGACAUGAGUAAGCAGUGUGCCCUUGCUGCUAAGAAGGCCAAUGGUAUCCUGAGCUGCAUUAGGCAAAGAAUUGCCAACAGGUCAAGAGAGGUGAUCCUUCCCCUAUACACAGCCCCAGUAAGGCUGGAGCAAUGUGUCCAGCUCUGGGUCUCCAGUAUGGGAGAGACACGGAUGUAAUGGAAAGGGUCCAAAGAGGCAUAACCAAGAUGGUCUGGGACUGGAGCACCUCUCCAGUGAGGAGAAUCUCAUCAGUGUCUGUAAAUACCCAAACAGAAGAUGCAAAGAAGAUGGAGCCAGGCUCUUCUCAGUGCUGCUCAGCGUCAGUACAAGAGACAAACUGUAACACAGAGGCUCCCUCUGAACACCAGGAAGCAGUUCUGCACUGUCGAGUGAUGGAGCACCAUCAUGGGCUGCCCAAAGGCUGUGGGUUCUCCUCCUUGGGGAUCUCCAGAAGCUGCCUGGUUGUGGGCCCAGGCAGCCUGUAAAUCUGUGUAGUGGCUUUUUACACCAGUUUGCAGGUAAAAUUUUGUCCUUUCUCAUUCCAUGUUGCAAAACAACAAAUAAAAUAUGUUUUGUGUGAAACUACAUAAGCUCAUUCUUUUACCCUCAGAGAUAGAUCCUUUAUAUAGUUCCAUAGAAUAUUUAUCCCUGCUUUCUUGCCUUAACUACCUUAUAAUUUCUGCAAUUAUUUUUGUAACAUUACUAUAUAAAAAGCUUUACAGAAUUCAAUAAAUUCCCUG